AGCGUAGGCGGAUAGUUUAGUCAGAGGUGAAAGCCCAGGGCUCAACCUUGGAAAUGCCUUUGAUACUGGCUAUCUUGAGUAUGGGAGAGGUAAGCGGAAUUCCGAGUGUAGAGGUGAAAUUCGUAGAUAUUCGGAAGAACACCGGUGGCGAAGGCGGCUUACUGGCCCAUUACUGACGCUGAGGCUCGAAAGCGUGGGGAGCAAACA
rnacentral:rRNA from 1 species